rnacentral:other from 1 species
UGUCCCCUGCGGUGUUCGAUAGGUCCAUAUAUUCUUUGAACCAAUAAGCUUUGCUUAAAGCUGCGACCCUUGAAGUUGCUGUUGUGAACGUCCCCGGCCGAUGUAUCUGGUAGUUGUAUUUGGCGGACGUACCUGAAGUGACUGGGAAGUGGCUCUCUUGGAUCUCGGUUCAAGAUGCUGGGUCAACGGCACAGGCGGGGGGCUU